AUAUAUAUAUAUUAUUAUUAUUAUAAUAUAUUUUCUUCUCUUCGUAGAGCAUUUCAUUAACGAGUACCUCCGGACUGGCUUUGUAAUGCAAUUUUGCAAAAAUUUGCAUUUUCAUCAAUGUUAUUUUAAAAAUUUUAAUUUAUAGCUAAAACCUUUACAACAAUGGAGUCCGCUUAGAAAAACGAACUAAAUUUGUUUAAUAUUAUUAAUAUAAUCGUGUUAUAAAAAUAGUUUCUAUAUAAUCAGUUCUACAUAAAAGCUUUUAGUUUUAUACAUUUUAAUUACUUUACCACUCAUACCACCUAAUCUCGUUUAACCCCUUCCUUUUCCAAAAAAAAAAAAAAAAAAAAUUUAUAAUAUACGUACAUCCAGUCAAACAUGCAGGACAAUGAAUAAAUAUGAGGAGGGUGCCGUGUAUGUACAGCAAAGCUUGGCCAGUAGUGAAUCCAGCCUCAUGAA